rnacentral:rRNA from 1 species
UCGAGAAUUUUUCACAAUGGGCGCAAGCCUGAUGGAGCGACGCCGCGUGGGGGAUGAAUGGCUUCGGCCCGUAAACCCCUGUCAUUUGCGAACAAAUUGCUCAACCUAACACGUGGAGCAUUGAUAGUAGCGAAAGAGGAAGGGACGGCUAACUCUGUGCCAGCAGCCGCGGUAAUACAGAGGUCCCAAGCGUUGUUCGGAUUCACUGGGCGUAAAGGGUGCGUAGGUGGUAGGGUAAGUCGGAUGUGAAAGCUCGGAGCUCAACUCCGAAAUGGCAUUGGAAACUACCCAACUAGAGGGUCGGAGGGGGGACUGGAAUUCUUGGUGUAGCAGUGAAAUGCGUAGAUAUCAAGAGGAACACCAGUGGCGAAGGCGAGUCCCUGGACGACUCCUGACACUGAGGCACGAAAGCUAGGGGAGCAAACAG